rnacentral:rRNA from 1 species
GACAGAGGAUGGCAAGCGUUAUCCGGAAUGAUUGGCGUAAAGCGUCUGUAGGUGGCUUUUUAAGUCCGCCGUUCAAAUCCCAGGGGCUUCAACCCUGGACAGGCGGUGGAAACUACCAAAGCUGGAGUACGGUUAGGGGCAGAGGGAAGUUUCCGGUGGAGCGGUGAAAUGCGUAGAGAUCGGAAAGAACACCAACGGCGAAAGCACUCUGCUGGGCCGACACUGACACUGAGAGACGAAAGCGUAGGGGAGCGAAUGGG